rnacentral:rRNA from 1 species
GACGAACGCUGGCGGCGUGCUUAACACAUGCAAGUCGAACGGACAGGCCCUGCUCUUGUUGGGUGCUCGAGUGGCGAACGGGUGAGUAACACGUGUGUAACCUGCCCUUGACUUUGGGAUAACUUCAGGGAACUGCGGCUAAUACCGGGUAGGAGCUCCUGCUGCAUGGGGUGGGUUGGAAAGUUUCGGCGGUUGUGGCUGGAUUCGCUGCUUACCAGCUUGUUUGUGUGGUAGUGGCUGACCAAGGCUUUGACGGGUAGCCGGCCUGAGAGGGUGACCGGCCACCUUGGGACUGAGAGACGGCCCAGACUGCUACCGGAGGCAGCAGUGGGGAAUAUUGCACAACGGGCGGACGCGUGAUACAACAAUGCCGCGUGCGGGAUGCCCUCUUUCGGGUUGUAAACCGAUUUCGAAUGUGACGAAGAGUGAGUGACGGUACUGGGUAAAGAAGCAACGGCUAACUACGUG